AUGGAGGGAGAUGUCCUGCGUCUACAUCCAGGAGUUCCUGAACUGAAGGAAGACAUUCAAAUACUGUGGUCUUACGAGAAUGACAAUCGAAGCACUCGUGUGGCACAGAUGUAUCAAGGGAAAGUUUACACCCAUUAUGAUGAGAGAUUCAGUGGCAGAGUCCAGCUAGACCAGAAGACUGGAGCACUGACCAUCUCAAACAUCAGGACCAAUGAAUCAGGACCGUUUGAAGCAUUCAUUGUUAUUAACACACAGAUCUCAAAACGAAAGUUCAACGUUGAUGUAUAUGCGAUCUCAUCGGUUACUGUGCGACAAUCUACAGAUUGUCCAGACUGUUGUGGCAUCACUAAGGCUCUGAUCCAUCUGGUUGUGGCUGGUCUGGUGUUUCUGUCAGAUUUGGUGUAG
ensembl:lncRNA